AUGAGACAACAAACCUUGAAGUCAUAUAGGACACAAGGCUUUAAAAGAUGUUCCAACUUCAGGAGUAAGUUGCUCUUACUACAACCCUCAGCGAAUUAUUUUUCGGGAGGUUUUGGUGGAUUUUCCAAGUCAUGAUCCAAAACCGUCUUUGGCCUUUUUGCUCUCCUAGUCUGUUGUACAUGUAGAAUGCUUUGCCUUGCGAAAUGAAUGUUGAGUCGAAGUGCACUAUGAAUUUCAAACCAGUUGAGUUAUAUUUCACUUUGCUGUAUGUGUCGUGAUCAUGAAAUUC